AGUGGUUGCAAUCAGCUUGUUUUGUUUUCUGUUGAACAGAGGGCAUUGUUUCUUCUAGGAUCAUACUUACAUCCAGUACUUGCAAUUGCUUAAUGAUUAAGCUAGUGAGUUAACCAACAGGACUGAACAGCUAUAGCAGGUUAGUCUGAGGAUUUAGAAGGCUCCUAUCAUAUUAGUUGCCUAAGGAGAUGCCUUUUCCCAGCCUAUCCCCUUUCAAAUUGGUCUGGACUCUGGAGAUAUAUUUGCUUUCUCCAUCUGCUGUCUGACAACAAAAGAGAAGAUGAAAAUGUGUUCUUUUAGAUUCAGGCGCUGGUCAAAAAGGGUUUUCUUGAGCUUGAAAACUAUUGGCAGACCCGAGAGCAUGUGUGUUUAUGCCAUUUGGAUAGGGAAUGUACGUUUCUCAGUGUUUUGUAGAAUAUGCUUUACAAGUUCUUGCUUCGUACGUUGAGAUUCAAUAAGUCGCAGCAAUUUCAUAGAAGCAUUGAUUUUUUUUUUUGUGAAAAUGAAGUAUGCAUCAUCGAAUAAUCUCCUGAUAGUGAAAAGAUUAAUGAUGAAUAUCUGAAAAACAUUAAUAUAACAGGUUUGGUGUAAGGAAACUCUGCAAGGAUGGGUCGUGUACGCACCAAGACAGUGAAGAAGUCAUCUCGACAGGUAAUUGAGAAGUAUUACUCCAAAAUGACUUUGGAUUUCC
rnacentral:lncRNA from 1 species